UCGAGAAUUUUUCUCAAUGGGGGAAACCCUGAAGGAGCGACGCCGCGUGGAGGAUGAAGGUCUUCGGGUUGUAAACUCCUGUCAUUUGGGAACAAUGGUUACGCGUUAACUGCGCGUGACUUGAUAGUACCAGAAGAGGAAGAGACGGCUAACUCUGUG
rnacentral:rRNA from 1 species